rnacentral:rRNA from 1 species
CCUACGGGAGGCUGCAGUAGGGAAUCUUCCACAAUGGGCGAAAGCCUGAUGGAGCAACGCCGCGUGGGUGAAGAAGGUCUUCGGAUCGUAAAACCCUGUUGUUAGAGAAGAAAGUGCGUGAGAGUAACUGUUCACGUUUCGACGGUAUCUAACCAGAAAGCCACGGCUAACUACGUGCCAGCAGCCGCGGUAAUACGUAGGUGGCAAGCGUUAUCCGGAUUUAUUGGGCGUAAAGGGAACGCAGGCGGUCUUUUAAGUCUGAUGUGAAAGCCUUCGGCUUAACCGGAGUAGUGCAUUGGAAACUGGGAGACUGGAGGGCAGAAGAGGAGAGUGGAACUCCAUGUGUAGCGGUGAAAUGCGUAGAUAUAUGGAAGAACACCAGUGGCGAAAGCGGCUCUCUGGUCUGUAACUGACGCUGAGGUUCGAAAGCGUGGGUAGCAAACAGGAUUAGAUACCCCAGUAGUC